AGACACACGUAACUGUUUUUUUUACACAUUAAAUGCUCUGAUUACAAACAAUACAAUCUAUCUUUAUAACAAAACCCUUUGUCAUCAAGCCGGGGUACAUUUGAACUAAUACUUGAGGGUCGCGAUGGGGUUUACAGAACAGAGAAAAAUUGGCAAAAAUCUACGGAAAAUGGACCGAAAACGUAACGAAUUUAAAAUAGGACAAAAAAAAGAAAAGAGAAUAAUUAGUUGUUAAGAUGUAUAAAAAAAGAAUAGAGAACCAUUAGGGGCUAAAAUAUAAAGAAUAGAAAAUAAUGG
rnacentral:lncRNA from 1 species